AGUCUUUCUUUCUUAUACUCUUGUCUUUGGCUCCAAAAGCCAGAUAUGGCUCCUCGUGUCUUCCUAGGAAAAAGCCAACUAGUCUGUGGUUGUUAUUAGCUGUCGAAAUCACCCCAAUUCAUGAAGCCAAUUCUUCAAUUUGUUGCUACAAAUUCUAAAUACUCACUCAGUGGGAAGCACCCAUAAAAUUCUUCCCUCAAAAUUUGUCAAAGGAUUAAAACCUCAACUAUGCUUACUUGUUCUCUUUAUCUUUCCUCUCUUAUUAUUCCGACCACCAAGGGCGGUGCUGCCGCUGCCGUUGUUGCGCCUGCUUCUUCAGUGGUGGUGUCGGAUUUUCUCUCCUCUAUUCUAUUGUUGAUUAUUGCUGCUCCUCUAUUGUUUUCUCUCUCAUCUGCUUCUGUGUCACUGUUGUCGGCAUCCCGAUGGUACUCCGGCGCCACCAUCGCUGUUGUGCGUUGGUGUUGGUUUUUCUUGUCGCCUGGCGUGAUAUUGUUAGAGUUGUUUCCACCUUCCGUCGUAUUGUUGGCUGAGUUGUGUUCUUGUGUCUUGUUACUUGUGAAUUUGAAAAUCAAGUAUAACAAUUAAGUUUUCUUGUAUAUGGUUUCUUAAAGGUAUCAUUAUAAUUGUUUGAUUCAAUCCAAAAUUGUAAUGGCUAAAUAUGAUUUAUAUAUGUUGGCAAAGUUUUUUUACAUUAUAGCUUUCAAAUUACUUUAGUCUGCCAGGGAGUUUUAACUUGUAUACUUAUAACUAAUAACCAGUUUUAAGAGAAGAUCUCUUUAAUUCAUAAUAUAGUGGAACUAAUCAAGAUGGAUAUCAUGUUCCAAAUAAUUAGCUUGCUGUGUUUCUUUUCAAUGGAUUCAAGUGAGUUUUGUAAGAGCAAUUUGAUGACCUUGUUUUCCGAAAUACAUUUUAUUUAAUUGUUUUAUUCUCAUGUGGACAAAUUGGUUCAAGGAGUUACUUUAUUGAUUUAGGGAAUGAUAUGUCAUGAAAACUUUUGGAAUUAGACUAGUAUGUCUAAAUUAAAGUGAUCGAUAUUAUAUAUGCGUGUUCAAUUAGUAGUACAUGGAAGUGUUAUAAAAAGAUUAAUCGAAUAAGUUAUGGGUGUCUAGUUAAACCAUAAGGUGUAUUCACUAUUCUCAUGAUAAUUAUUGUUUUAUGGUGAAUUAUGCGGAGUUUAAGAUUGAGUUGGUGAUCGAAUAUCAAGAUCUUGGAGAUUUGUUAAUAGAGAAAUUGGUUUGCGGUUGAGGUAUAUGUCCGGGUUUCGGAGUGAAUCAAGAGAAAAAGGUUUCAGUUAAGAUGUGGAAAUUAAAUCAGUGAUUCAAAGUUAUAUUUAGAGUAUACAAUGUUGAAUAUUAAGUUCUCAUUUGAUGGUUAAGUAUUCUAUUGUUUUGGGAAUCGAGUAAUGUAUUAUGUAAUCUGUUAUUGGUUUUGAAGAUGAUUUGUUGUGGGCCCUGACCCACAGGUCCAGGAUUGUUUUAUAGAUUAUAUCUCCGCUGCGAGUAAAUAUUUAAUUCGAGGUUUAUUAA